rfam:Pleurotus ostreatus PC15 unplaced genomic scaffold scaffold_03, whole genome shotgun sequence.
GCCCGCCUAGCUCAAUCGGAUAGAGCGUCAGACUUUUACGGUCAGUCAAUUGGCUAGGCGAUCUGAAGGCUGCGAGUUCGACCCUCGCGGUGGGCU